rnacentral:rRNA from 1 species
CCUACGGGUGGCAGCAGUAGGGAAUAUUGCUCAAUGGGGGAAACCCUGAAGCAGCAACGCCGCGUUGAGGAUGAAGGUUUUCGGAUUGUAAACUCCUUUUGUUAGAGAAGAUAAUGACGGUAUCUAACGAAUAAGCACCGGCUAACUCCGUGCCAGCAGCCGCGGUAAUACGGAGGGUGCAAGCGUUACUCGGAAUCAUUGGGCGUAAAGAGGGCGUAGGCGGGUUAGCAAGUCAGAUGUGAAAUCCUAUGGCUUAACCAUAGAACUGCAUUUGACACUGUUAUUCUAGAGUAUGGGAGAGGUAGGUGGAAUUCUUGGUGUAGGGGUGAAAUGCGUAGAGAUCAAGAGGAAUACUCAUUGCGAAGGCGACCUGCUAGAACAUAACUGACGCUGAUGCGCGAAAGCGUGGGGAGCAAACAGGAUUAGAUACCCGAGUAGUC